rnacentral:misc_RNA from 1 species
UUUUUUUUUUUUUUUUUUCACAAUAAAUUAUUUUAUGUUAAAAUUCGAAAGUCAAUGCGAGAGGAAGGGUUGCAAGUUGCGACAAGCUUGGAUUGCAGUCUAUUUUACCUGAUCUGAGCCCACUGUGUCUCUUAGUUUUUGAGAUGUGAUUGCCCAUAUAUUCUUUAUACUAUGCAAUUGCGUAGGAAUGUGAUUGUGGAGCAUAAUGACGGAAAUUGGCUUCAUCCAUCGACGGAUUUUUGUUAAAAGAUUAUUCUUCAUUUGUUCGAAAAAA